rnacentral:rRNA from 1 species
UAAUACGAGUGCCUCAAGCGUUAUCCGGAAUUAUUGGGCGUAAAGGGUGUGUAGGCGGUCUUGUUAGUCUUCUGUCAAAUUCUUCGGCUUAACCGGGGGUCCGCAGGGGAAACGGCAAGACUUGAGGGUGCGAGGGGUGAAUGGAACUCAUAGUGUAGGGGUGAAAUCCGUUGAUAUUAUGGGGAACACCAAAAGCGAAGGCAAUUCACUGGCGCACUCCUGACGCUGAAACACGAAAGCGUGGGUAGCGAAUGGG